rnacentral:misc_RNA from 1 species
GAUUGGGACAGGACGUCAUCGCACAGCUUGCACUGGUGCUCUCCGCGGUCCUGUUCGGCGCGGCCGCGCUGUUUGGGCGCAACUUCAACGGGCUCGAUCCGAUGGUGCCAGCUGCCGGNNNNNNNNNNNCAUCCUGACGCCGCUCGGUCUCAUCGUCGACCAGCCAUGGACGCUGACGCCAUCAGCGGCAUCCGUUACAGCCCUGAUUGCGCUCGCGGUGUUCUCGACCGCG